rnacentral:misc_RNA from 1 species
UUUUUUUUUUUUUAUUAUUUCAUCUUCUCAUUUUAUUUUAUAUUUUUAAUUACAAAUUACCAAUUAGAACAUAGUUAAGCUUAAAUUUUUUGUUUUUAUAAUACACUAUCAAAACAUAAUAUAGCUCAUUGGCAUUGAAGUCUCUAGGGCUAAAGGUUAUUUGCACUAAAAAAAAUCAAUAUUUCACCCUUUUCACUGAUAAGGAGAAUAUUUACAUUAACCUAAUGAUGGUAAAGUGAGACCAUCUACAGAUGGAAAAUCCAUGUAUGUACAACUGUUGAUUGUGGUGAGUUUCAUAUCGGUCUCACCGUGAUCAUUGGUUUUUAUUAAAACCCGCUAUGAUCAAUGGUUUUAACCAUUGUAUGUACUACAAAUGGGUGUCAUGAUUUAAAUUUAACCCACGUAAAAUCUCUUCCUUCACUGAUAAAAAAUAAUGAUAUAAAGAACAAUAUUCGACAAAAAAAAAUGUUAAAUAUCAAUGUAUGUCAUAAUUAUAUGGUAAUCUCUUCAUGUAAACGGAUGUUAAUUUGCUUAUUUAGGUGUUAACAUUCUAGAGCUUUUGACUAGCACAGCGCAGUAGCCAGGAACUUUCCAGAGAGUUAAAGAUGAGAGCUUUGAAGAUGAUGGUCUAAAAUGCCAAAACACGUGAUAGAGAAGUCACAAAAGUUCAGAAGAUUACAAUAAAAUGCAUAGAAACUCAAAUGCAAUCCUGGGAAAGUUGAGAAGAAAACAACAAAAUAAUACAGAAAAGGGAACUCAGGCUUUCGCUACUUUUCACCCUUCCCAAAUGGUGAUGGCCUUCCAUAUUCUCAAGUGUAAACCAUAGAAGUAGACUCAGAAGAGAAAGUGUAGAUAAAAAUGGCCACAGCAAUCGCCGGAGGACCGAAGAGGAUAGGCCUGUGCGUGGUUGCAAUGGAGGAGUCAGAUUUGUCCGAUGUUGAUGAUCCGGUAGAAGUAGUGGGAGCAGUUGUUGUAAUAUUUGUGAAAAUUGCAGCAUCUGGGGAGCUAGGAGAGAGGCCAAGAAGCUUAGGGCAAAAGCUAACACUGGCAUUUUGGAGCUGGCAAGCAGAAGGAAGUUGAAGCAACCUAUCCUUUUGGAUACCCAAGUUCUUGAUCUGAGCACUACCAUUAUUAGUCUGUUGGAUGAUAUAACACAAGCAUUUUGGGUCAUUUUCCUUCAAAUCCUUCACUGCACUACAACAUUCUUUUGAAGGUGUAUUCCCUUUCCCUGUUGCGUAAUCCAGGCAUGGCAUCACCUUCUGAAUAUCUUUGUUACACUCCGCACUUACCAUAUCUCCAUCUACACCUCUAAACACACUAAAACUCGAAAAAAUUAUCAACAAAACACUGAACAGAACAAUUGAGUGGCCACCCAUUUCCUGAUAUUGAACUUUUCAAGCUCUUUUUGUUCUCUGAACAAGAGAGAAAAUGAUAGCUUUCUUGUAUAUAUAAGAAGUUAACAAGUAGUAUAGAGAGUAACCGUAGUCUAUGUAAGAGAAAGGCCCACCAUGUUUUAGAUCAACGGAGGAGAGGGAACGGUGAACUGGUUCUAACAAAACAAGAAAGAAAAGGUUUUAAAUGGAGGUCUAUUAAGGUCG